AGAUUUCUUAGCUCACUGUCCUCCAUCCUAGCCAGGGCCCUCUCCCCUCUCUAUGCCUUCAAUGUGAUUUUCACCUUGACCCCUGUCACUGUGUGAACACUGAAGCUUUCUUUGGACAAGGCACCAGACUCACAGUUGUAGGUAAGACAUUUUUCAGGUUCUUUUGCAGAUCCGUCACAGGGAAAAGUGGGUCCACAGUGUCCCUUUUAGAGUGGCUAUAUUCUUAUGUGCUAACUAUGGCUACACCUUCGGUUCGGGGACCAGGUUAACCGUUGUAGGGUUAAAAUUCUACUAAGGAACAGGAGAGGACCUGGCAGGUGGACUUGGGGAGGCAGGAGUGGAAGGCAGCAGGUCGCGGUUUUCCUUCCAGUCUUUAAUGUUGUGCAACUAAUGAAAAACUGUUUUUUGGCAGUGGAACCCAGCUCUCUGUCUUGGGUAUGUAAAAGACUUCUUUCGGGAUAGUGUAUCAUAAGGUCGGAGUUCCAGGAGGACCCCUUGCGGGAGGGCAGAAACUGAGAACACAGCCAAGAAAAGCUCAUAAAAUGUGGGUCAGUGGAGUGUGUGGUGGGGCCCCAAGAGUUCUGUGUGUAAGCAGCUUCUGGAAGGAAGGGCCCACACCAGCUCCUCUGGGGUUUGCCACACUCAUGAUGCACUGUGUAGCAAUCAGCCCCAGCAUUUUGGUGAUGGGACUCGACUCUCCAUCCUAGGUAAGUUGCAGAAUCAGGGUGGUAUGGCCAUUGUCCCUUGAAGGCAGAGUUCUCUGCUUCUCCUCCCGGUGCUGGUGAGGCAGAUUGAGUAAAAUCUCUUACCCCAUGGGGUAAGAGCUGUGCCUGUGCCUGCGUUCCCUUUGGUGUGUCUUGGUUGACUCCUCUAUUUCUCUUCUCUAAGUCUUCAGUCCAUAAUCUGCCUCCUCACUCCCUUCUUGGCUCAUCCUCCCUCUUAUGUGCAUGGCUCUGCCUCUCCUAAGCCUCUUCCUCUUGCGCCUUAUGCUGCACAGUAUGCUUAGGCCUUUUUCCUAACAGAAUCCCUUUGGUCCAGAGCCAUGAAUCCAGGCAGAGAAAGGCAGCCAUCCUGCUGUCAGGGAGCUAAGACUUGCCCUCUGACUGGAGAUCGCCGGGUGGGUUUUAUCUAAGCCUCUGCAGCUGUGCUCCUAUAAUUCACCCCUCCACUUUGGGAAUGGGACCAGGCUCACUGUGACAGGUAUGGGGGCUCCACUCUUGACUCGGGGGUGCCUGGGUUUGACUGCAAUGAUCAGUUGCUGGGAAGGGAAUUGAGUGUAAGAACGGAGGUCAGGGUCACCCCUUCUUACCUGGAGCACUGUGCCCUCUCCUCCCCUCCCUGGAGCUCUUCCAGCUUGUUGCUCUGCUGUGUUGCCUGCAGUUCCUCAGCUGUAGAGCUCCUUGCUUAGUCUUCAGGGCUGUGUGUUUCUUUGCUCUUCUUUUCAUUGUUUUCUGGGACUCUUCUCAUCUCUACUUUCUUAGUGGAUGUAUUGUUUUACUUUCCCUUUUUUAAAUUGCAUCUUCUCCAUUUUUUCCUUCCCAUUCUAACUCCACUUCUGCAUUGUUGACUCCUUUUGGUGACUAGCUCUGUCUUCUAUGUUAAGAUUCUCCCCACUGCCAGCCUCCAGCACAGAACUCUGCUCAUGUCUUCAUCUCCCUCCUUCUUUCUUUCUCUACCAGUCUUAGAAGAUGCAUCUAUGUCUUCCUGAGGUAGUUUGAAGGUUCAUGAGCCAGGCAUGACCAGGUUGGGGAGACAGGUGGUUUCAGGGUUGCUCUUGAGGCCUGAGGGCAGAAGUCCCUGUCACAGCAUUGGGCGAGCUGCAGGGAGUCUCUGAGGUGCCUGUGUUUGGCAGGUGUUUGGGAGAUAGGUCUGAAGAGAGUGUUACAACUGGAAACUGACAUUAUCUUAGCAACAGAUAAGGUAUAAAGAAGACAAAAUGGGUAGGAGACUCUAUUUUCUUUUUUUCUGAGACGGUGUCUAGCUCUAUUGCCCAGGCUGGAGUGCAGUGGCACGAUCUCGGCUCACUGCAACCUCCGCCUCCUGGGUUUGAGCGAUUCUCCUCCCUUGGCCUCCCGAGUAGCUGGGAUUACAGGUGCCUGCCACCAAACCCAGCUACUUUUUGCAUUUUUAGUAGAGAUAGGGUUUCACUGUGUUAGCCGGGCUGUUCUCAAACUCCUGACCUCGUGAUCCGCCUGCCUUGGCCUCCCAAAGUGCUGGGAUUACAAAUGUGAGCCACUGCACCCAGCCAAGACUCCAUUCUCUUAAGCCUCAGAAUCU
rnacentral:lncRNA from 1 species